UGAGGAAUUUUCCGCAAUGGACGCAAGUCUGACGGAGCAACGCCGCGUGCAGGAAGACGGCCUUCGGGUUGUGAAAUCUGCAUUUUCUUGAGAGACGAGCAAGGACGGUAUCUCAGGAAGAAGCCCCAGGCCUGAACUACGUGCCAGCAGCCGCGGUAAUACGUAGGGGGCGAGCGUUGUCCGGAGUGACUGGGCGUAAAGGGCUUGUAGGCGGUGAUGCGCGUCAACCGGGCCAGCUGGCAGCUUCCCUGCCGGAGAGCGGUUGAAACGGCAUGACUUGAGGGCGAGAGAGGGACAUGGAACUCCGGGUGGAGUGGUGAAAUGCGUAGAGAUCCGGAAGAACACCAAAGGCGAAGGCAGUGUCC
rnacentral:rRNA from 1 species